UUCAUCUCAUUUUGUUGAUAGUGACUACCUAGAGCUCAAACUUUUCAUAAAAAGUGAAGUGAUUUUAUAUGGAACUUUAGGUACAUUUAAUAUUUAAAUCACUUCUAAUAUGUUUCUAUUUUAUUUUUAACAUGUUUAUGUGAUGCAAAAGAAAGUUAGUGAAAUGCUUUACCAAGCUCUGGGGAGCUUUAUUUUUUCUAUGACAUAACUCUGAAAAAUUUGGGGAAGCACCCUUCCCUUAGGGAUUUUCAGUGAUUCACAAUGUGUGCAAGAUUCUCCAAAGUGCCUCCAAAAAACUGAAACCUUUUCUGCAGGCUUUAAGGCAUUAGAAUACCUUAGCCUCAAGGAACUUGGUUCUUUCAGCAGUAACACCCUACAAUAACAACAUUUCACAUGGUCCUAUUGUAAUAUGUCACACUGGACUAUGCACUAGACUGGGAAAGUGGCCGGCAGCCAGGCUCCUUUCAAUUUCAUUCACCCUCCGUGCCAACUGCCUUGGACAAAGUAGUCGCCCAGACGUCUUCCUUCCAUGGUUUCUUUAGCAGAACUUCAGCUUCCCGUCUACCUACCGGGGAGGGUCAAGGUCUGAGGCAGCCGCCCAUCCCUACUCAACACAUUUUCCCUCUCUUGCAGACGCCUUGGACCUGCGCCGCGCCCAGGUCUCAGUCGCAGCUCAGACAGCCUCGCGUCCCAUGGGCCCGUGGAUGCGCAGAUGGACUUCGGGUCACCUUCUCGCUCCUUCCCUGCAUGUGUCCCAAGAGGGAGGGAUAGGCCAAGGCCACGGCCAACGUCCCAGGAGGCGGGGCAGGAGCGCCUAGCCUGCCUUCCUCCCCCCUGCCCUCCAGGUUCUGCGCCCCCGGGCUUGGCACUGGAGUACACCUCCCAGGGGGCGUGGAGCCAAGACACCUGGGGCACCCGGCCAAGAGCUGCUGCCACCCGCCCCUCCCCCAGCCUGCGCUGGGGGUGUUUAUCUUGGCCGUUCCUCCUCGCUCUCUUCUCUUUCACUUUUCUUUUCGUUGGGGGUUGGGACUCCUUGGGUUCCAGGAGCCCAGGGAAACCCCAGCUGAUUUGUUUGUGGCCGCAGAGGCCCGACGCCCGGGAUGGGAGCCGGGUGACCGCGCCCGCCCCGCUGCACUGCCUGCCGCCCCUGACCCUGCAGCCCGGAGUCGAUGGAGCCGAGCACAGACUGCUAGUCCACUUGUGGCUCCCGCGCGGGUCCCCAGCGGCCCCGCGGUGCGCUCUGCUCUUUCCGCGGGGUGCCGUGCGCUCCACCUACUCCGCGCCGGGAGGCGGAGAGCAAGGGAAGCGCACCCGGCUGCCCGCGCCGAGCUGCGGGGUUCGGAGAAAGAGAAGUCCUGCCGCACAGAGCGCUGAGUUCUGCACCUCAUCCAGCUCAGAAAGUUCAAGUAAGAAUCCAUUCCUACAUAUGGUCACGUGGCUCUUCAAAAUAAUGUCUCAUCAUGUGCCAUGUUGGUGAUGUCACAGGAAGUCAAGAAGUCAAUGUUAGCAGAUAGCCAGCAUAUAGGAGGUCAUAAUCUUGAUUAAGAAUUCCCUAAACUUGAGAAACAACUUACUGAGAAUCUUAGAGAUAAACACAUUUUGCGUGUUGCUACCAUUGAAGGCUCAAAGAAGAAGUUGGAGGGUCCUUCGGAUGUUGAGGAAUAGAACUUGGGACAUCGUUGCCACAGUAACGUAGCUCUAAAUUGUCACUGAUUAUGAAAAUUAAUAAACAUGUUAUUUUAAAAAUUCCAUUAUGAUCAAUUCUGGGGCAAAAACCAGGGGAAUUUUCAUUAAGUGAAAUCAUACUUGAAAUAUGCAAGAAAUUAAGCAUGAUAUUCCCCUCAGUUGUUUUCAAGUCAUAACAAAAGUACUUUCUGUUUAUUGGAAUUUUUUAUUCCUAGUUUUUGAGCAGGUGGUUUCUUAAGUUUAGGGAUUCUUAAUAAAAAUGCAGAGCAGCUUCCUUUGGGGUCCUUAAAAACAACCCUUUUGAUGGUUUGUGGAGGCCUGCAAUAGCUGUUCUUAUCUGUGGAAGAGUGUCUCAAGAUUUUUGUUUUGUUAUCUUUCUGAUUAUCAAAGUAACACGUGCUCACUAUCAUAAGAGUAAAGAGUACAGAAAAGUAUAAAGUGAGAGAAACAUUGCCGGUAAUGCAGUAACUAAGAGGCAGAUUAUUACAUGAUUCUUUCCAGGGCUAUUUUUUUCUACAUGGUUGAUAUAAAAAAUAUUGAAAAUUUGCCUUGUACUUUUGUCUGUUUAACAGCAAACUGUGACAUUUCCUUGUGAUAUUACAUAAGUUGAUAUUAUUUUUCAUGUGUGUAUAAUACUUCAAUUUAAAUAUAUCGUAACCUAUUAUAAUGUCAUUAACUUGUGGUUAUUAAAAGAAAACUUCAGUAAGUAUAUUUUUUAAUAAAUCUGUGACCAGAUUUUUGAAAUUUUUAUUAGGAAAAUUUUCUAGGAAAAUUCAAAUGUUUAAAGUUAUAAAUGGUACUUCAGACAUAUUCCAGAAAAUACAUACAGAUUUACGUCUUCAUCAUCCCAUUGUGAGUUUUGGUGACACUACAUUCUCUUCAGUGCUGACAUUUAACAAUUUUAAAGCAAUCUUUCCUGCUUCCAUGAUGAGCAGUGGAUUGGACCAAAUGUAAUUCUCAUCCUGGAAAUCAUGUAUUAAUAGAAUGGGACUGGGAAAGACUCACAAACUAAGUGUAAAGCAAAACUCAGAGAUAGUGAAAAAGCUGUAAAAUCUGAAAUGAAACGCUGUAAAAUCCAAACCUGUGGGCUGUACACUAAAGCACCUGAGGCUGGUAGCAUUUGCCAGGAAGUUCCCUUGAGGGACUGAGAGAAAUGGAAGUACGGAGGGGGCCCUGUGAUGACGUUUGUCAGCAAUCACCAAUGGGAAAGAAAGAGCCCAGUUCUGUGUGGGGACUGAGCCUGAGCAAGGAGUCGUUGCCAGGGGAAACGGAGAAAGGUUCUUUGUCCCCGUGAGUGGACAGAUCUCAGAAAGCACAUUUUUCAAAAAGGAAGGAAAGGCAUUGGUAUGAAGUGGCUGUGUCCUUCAGUGACAGGUGGGGUGGGUUACAAGCUCAUAUCCUGGAUUUCCUGCAUGGGGUUUCCUCCUGAUGGAAAUGUUGGCAAGUUAACAGGCUGUCUGGCUAAUCUUUGGCCGUGGGUUGUAGGAGUUAGUAACACAUUUUUGCAAAUCUUGCCCCUUCCUCUGCCUGGGGGUGACUGCAAAGGUGCUGUUUGUGUAGCUCUGUGCACUUAAGAAUGGCCAGCCUGCCUGGGCACUUCCUUCUAGGGGCUCGCCCCUGUUCUCCGGCUUCCCAUUUGUACCUUCUCUCGUUUUCUUGGAAGUGCACUAUUUACUAGAAUCCUUUUUCUGUGCCUAAUGAUGAUGUCAUAUCUUUUUUAUUUGCUUGAAUUUGUGAGUUCUUUAAGAAGUCUAUUGUUUAUUUUUCACACAGUUGAGAAUUGAGAAAAUAAACUAAGAGUUUAUUAUUGAUUUCACAGCCAGAAUUCUAUCAGAUAGUAAACACUGAAUAAUUUUAGUUCUUUAAAUAUAAUGACUUGCUUUGUGGUCCAGCACAUGGUCACCUUUGGCAAAUAUUCCAGAAGUAGAAGAGUGAAUUUUUCCAUUUUGAGGUAUAAUGCAUCAUACAUGUCAGGUAGAUCAAGCUUUUUUUUUUUUUUUUCAGGCCUACUCUAUCCUUGAAUUUUGUUUCUCUGUUGUUCUAUUAGCUUUUGAGAGAGAUAUUUUAAAGUCACCCAAAUGAUGGUGAAUUUGCCUUUUUCUCUUUUCUCUAGUUCUACUUAGCUUUGCUUUAUAAACUUUAAAGCUAUAAUUUUUAGGAGGCUGCAUUUUUUUAUCAUGAUACCCCCCCUAGUGCAUGGACCUUUUACAGGGUAUGAAAUGCCAGCCUAUCUUUCUAGUAAGUGACUGGCCUUCAAGUCUGCUUUAUCCAACAUGAGUAGAGCUGCCCCAGCUUAUUUUUUUCAGUCUUUGCAUGAUACAUAUUUUCCCCUCCAUUUCACCCUGACAUUGUCCUUAUAUUACAGGUGUGCGUCCUGUAACAAGAGGUAGCUGUUUUACAUUUUUGUUUUUAACUUAAUCUGGCAAUCCUAGUCUUUUACAUAGAGUAUUUAGUCCAUUUUCAUUUAGUAUAAUUACUGAUAUAGUUGGAUUCAUAGCUACCAGCCUACUAUUUGUUUCCACUUGACUCAUCUCUUUAUGUAGUUUUAUCCUUCCUUUCUUGACUUUACAUGGACUAAUGAAUUUUUUGCUAUCCUUAUUUCCUCUACUAAUUUAUUAAUUAAUAUUAUUUCACUCUUUAUUUUUCCCUUAAAUAUUAAAUGUAUCUUUAAAAAUUGUACCUCAACAUAUUAAUUGUUACCUAGAUAUUACAGUAUGCAUCAUUUGUAUAUUACACCCUAUCUAAUGAUUUUUUAAAAGAAGAGAGUACUUCAGUGUGAUUUAAACCCUUCCAGAGGAAUAUAAAGUCAGCUUGUUUUAGUGAAGGGAGAUUAUCACUGACACCUAAAUAUGCUCAAAAUUUCACAAGAAGAAAACUAUUUUCAAUUUUAUUUAUGAAUAUCAAUGAAAAACUCUUCAGAAAGUUAUUUGCAGCUCAUUAAAGGAAUUAUGUAUUCAUGAUGAAGUAAAGUUCAUUCCAGGGAUGAAAGAUUAUGAAGUCAAUUAAAAUAUUUCAUCGUAAUAGUUGAUCUAAGGGAAAAAUCAUAUGUUAAUUUCAACUCAUUUGAUAAAAUUUAGCAACCAUUCCGGAUGUUUUAAAAAAGAGAGAUAGCUCAAUAAAGAAAGAGUCAAACAUUUUAUAACCAUGACAAAACAAUAAACUGUAUGUUCACACCUACACAUACACAAACAUAACAGCUAAAUGCUAGAGGUACUUCUGUUAUUUCUGCUCAAAGAACAAACAAGAUAAUUGUUUACCUCUCACCCUUGCUAGUGAUGUUGUACCAGAGAUAUUAGUUAACAAAACCAAAAAAAGGCAAAGGAAUUUGAGGUAUGAAAUUUUAAAAAGUGUAAGUAAAGCUGUUAUUUGUAAAUGACUUAAUACUUAAAAAGAAAAAUGGAAUCUAGCUGAACAUUUUCUAUUGCUCAAUUCCAGCAUCUAAAAGAGAGAGAGUAAAAAGGUAACUCUGACUCAUUAAAAGAAAUCCUUUGGUUGGCAAAAAUACAAGCCAAAACAAAAGAAAAACUCUGGAGAAAUUCUAAAGGAGAAUGGUAAGCUGGGAAAAAAUAUUUGCCUCUCAAAUGACCAGGAGUUUUCUCUCUUAAAUAUAUUUUAGGAAUUGUGGGAGUGUAAAGAAAUACAAAGCACAGAACAGCGUGUUAGUCCCUAAGUUGUGUCCAACUCUUUGAGAUCCCAUGGACUGUAGCCCGCAAGGCUCCUCUGUCCAUGGGAUUCUCCAGGCAAGAAUAUUGGAGUGGGUUGCCAUGCCCUCCUCCAG